CUCACCUGCACAAUUAGAAAGAGAAAGACAGAAGAAGAAAUUAAGCUCCCUUUUUUCCCCAGAGGAAAUCAGAAGUCAGCCAGAGCCGUACGAGUCUGGAAUUAGCUGGGAGCGAGAGCUUAAGCCCUGGAGGUCUGACUGAAGGAGAAACCGCAUCGGUUUAACAGACAAAUUAAGAGUCUGACCUCGACAAUCAUCUUAACAGUGGGCAGGGUGGUGGAGAUGUUCUGAGGGUGAGGCGGUCGCACUGUGAUGGGAACUCAGCCGGCGUACAGGCAGCCGUAAAGGGCUGCGAUCAGGUCUAUACCUGCAGAAGGAGACACACAGGUACACCAGAGCGACAUUAUCUCCUUCCUCCAGACCGCCUCUCUCCAUCAGCAGAGCUGCCACUCCCUCCGCCGUCUGCAGACAGGUGAGAGAGCUGGACACUGCCCCCUGCAGGAGGUGAGAGAGGGGAACGGUGUGAGCCAUCAAGAAGCCACCUGCCACACUCAAAGGACAAAGACUGCAGUUCAUCUAACGGCCAGUUCAUCCACAGUUAUGGAUAAUUAUUAUUCCGUUUUCUACUUGCUUGAAUUUUUCUACAAUUUUUUAAGGUGCCCAGUUGUGCGUGGGUGUGCUGGUACCAGAGAGCUGAGCAGGGUUUGGAGAGGACGGGGUCCUGUGUGGUCUGAGCUCUCCACUGCAAACCUCGGACAGGAACAGAAACUGCAAGACAGACAUAAACACUUCUUUUACACACACUUUGAUGGCCUAACCUCUGUGUUUUUUACAUUAAUGUGUUUACGUGUGAUGUACAUGACUAUUGUGCAUCUGGCUCAGUGUUUGAUAUUGUAAAGCAAAGUCAAUAACAGCAAAAAUUUAAUAUUUUACUUUUAUUUCUGUCGCCCUCCUGCAUCAAUCCCAGAAUCACCCACACCCUUUACCACAUUUGCUUACUGUAG
ensembl:lncRNA